rnacentral:tmRNA from 1 species
GGGGAUGUACUGGUUUCGACGGGGACAUUUGUGAGGGUGAUAAGCAAGCCGCAGUUGAAUACCCUGCGUUAAAAAGAUUCGCCUAAAUAUAAUUGCUAACACAAACAAAACGGCAGAAGUGGGUGCGCCCGCUCUGCUUGCCGCCUAAUUAACAGGUAGCCUUCCGGCCCCUCUUUCCCUGUUUGGGAGGGAGUCGGAAGCCAAUUUAAAACAGGCUCCCGCAUCGCCAAAGCUUUGAGGCGGCACGGAAAUGAUGAAGCUACUCUUUUUCAAUUUUUGUGGAUAGGGGCGGAAAAGGGGAAAUAAAACAAAAUCCAAUACGCUUGUAGAAAGUUGCCUGGGCAGGUUUUCGGACAGGGGUUCGACUCCCCUCAUCUCCACCA